rnacentral:tRNA from 1 species
GUUGUUUUAGUAAAUAUUUAUUACAUUAAAUUUAAGCUUUAAAAUAGAUUUAAAGGUCACUCAACA